rnacentral:rRNA from 1 species
UCAAGAAACUUCCACAAUGGGCGAAAGCCUGAUGGAGCGACGUCGCGUGAUGGACGAAGUGCUUCGGCACGUAAACAUCUUUUUAUGUGGGAUGAAAUUAUUGACAGUACCACAUGAAUAAGGGGCUCCUAACUCUGUGCCAGCAGGAGCGGUAAUACAGAGGCCCCAAGCGUUAUCCGGAAUCACUGGGCGUAAAGGGUGUCGUGGCGGUUGUAUUAGUCGUUCGUAAAAUCUACGAGCUUAACUUGUAGGCGGCGAACGAAACGGUACGACUUGAGGUUUGGAGAGGUGCGUGGAACUCACGGUGUAGGGGUGAAAUCCGUUGAUAUCGUGGGGAACACCAAAGGCGAAGGCAGCGCACUGGCCAAAAUCUGACGCUCACACACGAAAGCUAGGGUAGCGAAGAGGAUUAGAUACCCACGUAGUCCCUGAGCGGGCUGGCAAGGCGCAU